CUGCUGUGUCCUCCAUCACUCCAUUUCCUCUCGUUCGGUUUCUCCUUGAGGACGGAUUCAGGCCCUGGUGCAUCGCUUUGUUAUUAUCUUCAGUCUCUCCACCCAUCUUUGUAUAAAGAAAGAGGCGAGGAAUCACAAGAAGAAAGGCCAGCACCUGCCGGAUUUCUUGACCGCUUGAUCGCACUCCCACAUGGAAGCAAAAGCUAAAGGGUCACCGAAGUCUGCCUCCAAAGCAGAGAAGAAGGAGGCAGCCCCCCCACCAAAACCCGACCCCAUCUCCGAACCGGCCCCACUUGCAGCCACCGAACCCGAGAAGCCAGCAGAUGGAGAUAGCGACCAACAGGGGGCGACAGAGUCAGGAGGGUGCGGCUGCGAAAUGUUAGAAAACUUGAAGCCUUUCCUGAUUGGAGGAGCAGUAGUUGCCCUUGGAGCUGUAUUGGUGGGCGCGAUCUUGGUAGCAAGAAAAAACUGACCUCGGGCUUGCCAUUGGUUAUUAAAUGCUCGGUUGAUUAGUUCACAGACUAUAAAGGGGCGUAAAUUUAUUAUAGAAGGGGUCGGGAAGUCACUAGGCUUCUUAAUUUUUACUCUGCACUUUCAUUUCAGUUCUUGUGGUGUUGUGCCGUCAGCUUUAUAAGAAAAAUUGCCAUAGUCAAUCACAACCAAUCCUAUGUUAGCAAACUACAUCCCACAUAUUUACAGCACAACAAUAGUUCAUUGUUUAAAUUAUACCAUGAUGAAUAAUAAUACAAAUACAGUUAUCACUCAAUUUCAACCAAGUUUCAACAGCCUUUAGUCCAUAACUGCCAGUUGUAAGAUAAGACAAUAUUACAAUGCAUGAUUCCAGUUAAAAAUAAAGCAUUUUUUCUGAAGUUUAUGGAAAAUAUAUAUUGGUACCUGCAGAACCAAUUUAUAACACACGCCAAUAUCAACCCAAAUCCAUAUGAGUGCGUGUAUUGUACAUGAUAGUACCAUCUAUUGCAGCUUGUAUAUUAAAUGAAAGUGUAGAAAUGUAAAGAUCAAGUGUAAUUUACAUUGUUAUACAAAUGAUGUAUAUGUGAACAGAAUUUCCUAUUUUGUUGUUUAAUAUUACAGUCGGUUCUAGCAAACAGUCUGUAUGUGACAUCAUUCCAAAUCAGAAACAAGCCAUUCAAUAAUCAUCAAUAUAUGGACAUCCUGUAUGUUACAUCAUGAUCAAAUUCUUCGUUUCUUGUUUGAAAGAUGUUGACGAUUUACUGGAUGAUUAUUACAAAGUGGACCGAUAGAAAUAGAUUAGCGUGUGCAACAUAGAUUAUGACGGCUCUCGGCCAAUAGCUUCAAUUUCACAGUUACACCACGAUGAACAGCAUACAACGAGAAAAUACAAAUGCAUGCAGACACGAGCAAUAUACACCCACACGUCACAUGACAAACUCUUACAAAAAAAGAGUUUCUUUAAAAUGCGUAUAUAAUGCAAUAAAUCAAAUAGGACUUUGUUAUUAAAAGUUAAAAAGAAGAAGGUCAUGUUGGCAACAGUAGUUGUGAUGUUGAUGAAAAGAAAAGAUGGUUGUCAGGGUGAUGAUGGUGAUGAAUGCUUAUGGUUUUGUUUGGUAGUUAAAAUGAGGUUUACUUAUACUUCAGAUAUGGCCCCUUUCCUGCUGUCAUGUGUAUUUAUUUCGCCUGCUGCCUUUCCGCUGCUCUUCAUGUAAAAUAAAAUAAAAUUGCUCCCUUGUGACUUGUUGACCUAUUAAAGUCUAUUGAACCGUA